UACGUAGGGUGCAAGCGUUAAUCGGAAUUACUGGGCGUAAAGCGUGCGCAGGCGGUUUUGUAAGUCUGACGUGAAAUCCCCGGGCUCAACCUGGAAAUUGCGUUGGAGACUGCAAGGCUAGAAUCUGGCAGAGGGGGGUAGAAUUCCACGUGUAGCAGUGAAAUGCGUAGAGAUGUGGAGGAACACCGAUGGCGAAGGCAGCCCCCUGGGUCAAGAUUGACGCUCAUGCACGAAAGCGUGGGGAGCAAACAGG
rnacentral:rRNA from 1 species